GGCUAACGCUGGCGGCGCGCCUAACACAUGCAAGUCGAACGAAGUCUUCGGACUUAGUGGCAGACGGGUGAGUAACGCGUGAACAAUGUGCCUUAUUACUGGGGAUACCGUUGCGAAAGUGACGUUAAUACCGAAUGUGGUGUUUCUGGAGCAUUUUAGAGACAUUAAACUGUAUGGGUGAUAAGAGCAGUUCGCGUUCUAUCAGCUUGUUGGUGGGGUAAUGGCCUACCAAGGCAACGACGGAUAGCUGGUCUGAGAGGAUGAUCAGCCACACUGGGACUGAGACACGGCCCAGACUCCUACGGGAGGCAGCAGUGAGGAAUCUUGCACAAUGGGGGAAACCCUGAUGCAGCGACGCCGCGUGAGGGACGAAUGCCUUCGGGUUGUAAACCUCUGUCAGUAGGGAAGAAGAUUGACGGUACCUACUGAGGAAGCUUCGGCUAACUACG
rnacentral:rRNA from 1 species